rnacentral:rRNA from 1 species
AGUGAACGCUGGCGGCAGGCCUAACACAUGCAAGUCGAACGGCAGCACAGUAAGAGCUUGCUCUUACGGGUGGCGAGUGGCGGACGGGUGAGGAAUACAUCGGAAUCUACUUUUUCGUGGGGGACAACGUAGGGAAACUUACGCUAAUACCGCAUAUGACCUACGGGUGAAAGCAGGGGAUCUUCGCACCUUGCGUGAUUGAAUGAGCCGAUGUCGGAUUAGCUAGUUGGCGGGGUAAAGGCCCACCAAGGCGACGAUCCGUAGCUGGUCUGAGAGGAUGAUCAGCCACACUGGAACUGGGACACGGUCCAGACUCCUACGGGAGGCAGCAGUGGGGAAUAUUGGACAAUGGGCGCAAGCCUGAUCCAGCCAUGCCGCGUGGGUGAAGAAGGCCUUCGGGUUGUAAAGCCCUUUUGUUGGGAAAGAAAAGCAGCAGGUUAAUACCCCGCUGUUCUGACGGUACCCAAAGAAUAAGCACCGGCUAACUUCGUG